rnacentral:ribozyme from 1 species
AGAGAGAGAAAGAAAGCAAGAAAGAAAGAAAGAAAGAGAGAAAAGUAGAGAGCAAGCGACAGAGUGAGUGCGUGUUCUUGAUGGAUCGAUGUUAGGCUACUUUGUGUUUUGAUCAUGUCGUGCUUCUCAU